GAGUUGAGGCUCAAGCAAAGUGAGUUCCUCCUGGCCCUGAGAAGGUGGAAGGUUUAGACAGUGUGACCUCAUCAUCCCCUGUGAGCUUUGCAACAAGACUGAAAAGCCAACCAGACAACCACGAGUCUAGGAUCAAAGUGUCUGCACAGCAAUCCUGUUCCACGGCGACAGCGGAUGGACGCUACUGCAUAAGAGAAGCUGAAGAGACUCAGUCGCAAUGUGGAUGAGAAGCAGCCAGGCAGAAGAAGAGUGCAUGUGGUUGCAUCUCUGUGGAGUUCAGAAUCAGGCGUGACUCAUCUGGGCUGCCAUCGCAGGUGCCAUCUACAGUAUCUGAAGGAGCUGGUCCACCUGGCACAUGGGGAGUCCUUCUCUGUAUUGGUCAGCAUUCAAUAGACACAUGAGCGUUUAUCCCCUCUAAUAUAUUUGGAUUUUGGUAACCGAU
rnacentral:lncRNA from 1 species